GACGAACGCUGGCGGCGUGCUUAACACAUGCAAGUCGAACGGAAAGGCCCCUUUGGGGGUACUUGCGUGGCGAACGGGCGAGUAACACGUGCGUAACUUGCCUUCGAUUGCGGGAUAACUUCCGUAAACUAGGUCUAAUACCGGACAGGAAUCCUCGCUGCAUGGUGGGUGUUGGAAAGCUUUGGGGGUUUGGGAUGGACUCGCGGCCUGUCUGGUUGUUGGUGGGGGAGGGGCUUACCAAGGCAUUGACUGGCAGCCGGCCUGGAGGGGGGAGCGGCCACAUUGGGGAUUGGAAUCGGCCCAGACCCCUACGGGGGGCAGGAGGGGGGAAAAUUGCACAAAGGGGGGGAGCCUGAUGCAGCAACGCCGCGGGCGGGAGGACGGGCUUCGGGUUGUAAACCGGCUUCAGCAGGGGCGGAGCUUGGGGUGACGGUACCGGCAGAAGAAGCACCGGCUAACUACGUG
rnacentral:rRNA from 1 species